rnacentral:lncRNA from 1 species
AAACUGCUUACCUUGAACAUUGCCAUGCUUGACUGGCUUUACAUACUUUUACUCUUCUCUCGAUACCAUGUAGCUACCUUUGGCUGUGUUUGGUUCUCUCAGUCAGAGGAAGUGGUGAGUGUGUUUCCUGCUCUGUCUCCCCCCUCCAGAAACAGUCAGAGCUGAAUGCAGAGAGAGAGAGGAGGGGAAAGCAGAGCUCAAGCGAAAGAAGGUUAGCCAGCAGCGAGUUAAGAAAAUGGCGAUCAUGCAGGACGAAUGCCUCCCCUCGUAGAUGCUGCAAACGCGUUGAAUUUUCUUUUAGCCUUACAGCCGGCUUUCCUUUCCACUCAGUUGCACUUUAUACUUCAAUGAGAGAUUCGGAAUUGAAAGCUGUUGCCACCAAAGAAGCUGAAGCAUCAUUACAGCCCAGCCUCUGUCUCAAGAUGGAAAAACCCAAAAUACCACCUACCACUAGAAAAAGAAAAAAACAAACCAUAAAACAUGCAAUUGCAACUUUGUGGUCCUGUUCUCUUUCCCUCCCACUGUUCUCACCGCCUUGUUCUUCUUUAUCCUUUGGUUUUGGUGACUUGUGAUGUCCCCUCCCUCUGUCAGCUGUAGCUGUCGGGGGAUGGGCAAUUGUCAGCCCAUUCAUAAACAGAUGCUGUCCAUGGUGUGUAUGCAUGCACUCCAGGAGGGCCCCCACCAUGCGCUGCUGCUGUUGUUGAACCCAAAACCAUCUGCUGAAGCACUUGAUGGUUGGAGGAAGGAGGGAGAGGGGGAAGUGUGGGAACAGAGCGAGGACGGUGGUGACUGAAGGUGGCAGCAAAAUAAGGAUGAGUGCAGCGGGGAGUGCAUCUACAGUUCGAUCGUACCAGAUUAGGCAAACCGCUGUCAUUUAACGUGUUGACAAGAAUGGUUUAGGGGGAAUUAAGCCCCUAUGUGUAGGAAUGAAACAUUUCUGACUUUGGCGACUUUUGAUGACUGUGUUGAACAGCAAUGCUUGCCACCUUCCUUUCUGUCAGACUGCUGUCACAGGCUUACAGACUUCAGACCUCAUAGGAGUCUGCAACUUUAAUUCAACGCGUACUACUAAAACUCCAUGUAAUAAAGAUGCUCAGGGUGCUUUUCUCUCAUAAAUAUGUCCUUUGAAGAAUAUAAGAAGGCUGUAGCAUCAACUCAGAUCACUGCUGCUCACAGCAGAUCAGCGCUGGGACAAUGCAUUUUAUCACUAAGUGUCUUGGUGUUAAUUGAUUUUCAAUUGUUUUCUCCUGGCUUAAUGAUAAAUAAGCCGUUUUAGAUUCAAAUUAUGUUAAUGAGUUGAGGCUUUAUAAAGAAGCUGUUGCAACAAUUAAAUUAUACAUUUUCAAUGUUCAAUUGGAGACUUUUUUUGUGUGAAAUGUCUUUGCUAUGGAGUAGUUUUUUGGUUUAUAGUUAAUUCUUUAAUGCAGUAAAUAUUUCCAACAUGUAAACAUUGCAUUUGUAAUGCAUAAUCUUAUAUCAGCCUAUAGUAACAAUGUUUUAAUAUAUUGAUGAGCCACUAUGCAAUUAUCUAACUAAACUAAAUGACUACACAUUUAAUGGUGCAGCCAUGGCGUCUGUCUGAGUUGUAUCAGCAUCUCUGUACAUCGGUCUGUUUAUAGCUAAGGUAAGUGCGAUGUAAUCCCAUUAUCGGAUUAGACUGCAUCCUGCAGCUUUCUCCUGCAGGCUAAAUGGCACACCCGCCGUGACCAGUGCGGCUAAACUUUACACUUGUUUAGGGAGAAGCCACAGUCUGAUUACAAACUAAUAGGACACUUUUAGGAAGACCUUUUUUAUGGGUAUCAGUCAAAAGUAGUGAACAUUUUUUAUUACAUAGGUAAAGUACACCAGUUUUUAUAUUUUGAGGCCAUAUGUUUUAUUCUUUUUCAUGUUGUCACGAGG